rnacentral:lncRNA from 1 species
UGAAGAAUUUUUACAGUUUCAAUAAUUCACCUCUGAAGUUUUUAAUUGUCCAAUCAACACCUUACCUCCACCAUACCCUAUACUCCUACAAGCCACCUUAUGCCUACCCCCAAGUUCAGCUUUUUGCCAUACCUCCUGCACUCCUUGUCAAUUCAAAGGUUACAAUACAACCAAGCUUCCAUCCUUCCAUCUCCACACGAAACAUUCACAAGUCACAAAUUUUAAGUCCAGCCAAGAAUAGCAGAGCAACCAAGCAACGGCCAUUUCAGAUUUUGAGCAGCUCACUCAAACUCAAGGUUUCAUCUUUAACUCCCCUGCUUACUUCAUUCCAAAUUAUGAUUAAGAAACCCAAGCCAUUUUAUGUAUGAAGCUGUUCAGCUGCCCAACAAGAAACUCACGCAUUCAUACAUUCACAAAUUUUCAUUUGAACAGAUUUUAUAACACAUAUGUAAUAUUUGUAUACAUAUUCUGUACAUACACACAUAUGUGUAUAAGCUAGUAUUGAAUGAUUUUUCAUGUUGAGUAAAUGAAUAAAAAGGGGAGGGGAGGAAACUUGUCUUGAAGCUUCGAUUUUACUCCUUGUUUCUGAGCUCGAAAUUACCUCUGGCUAUGUGUGUGAGUAGAGUCGAAAGGGAGGUGGUGGUGGUGGUUCGCCACUGCCGGAGACGAGGGAGAAGAGAAGGGAAGGUGGGGUGUCAUGUCUGUUCAGUGAGAGAUGAGAGGGAGGGUGGCGGCGGCAGCUCACUGCCCGGCCCCAGAGUGAGGGCAGAGGCGAAGUCGGCGGUGGCUUGGACUGCCGCUUGACUGAACGAAGAAAGAUGGAGAUCGGGACCGGUGGUGGGUGGCAGCCUUCACUACUGCCUGGCUGAGGACGGGGGAAGAGAGGGAGGAGCGGUGGCGGCUGGGGCUGCUAUCGCCGGAGGAGAAGAGAGUUUGUCGAGGGAGAUGGCCGACGGUGGGUCUUCGACGGAGGAGGAGCUGCGGCGUCGGAAUUUGAGAGGGGACGGGCGGAGAUUUAGAGACGGGAUUUGAGAGAGGGGCGAUGGCGGCGGCCUUAUCGUCAUCGCUCACCGGAGAUUCAGAGGGAGGCGGCGGCGUUCUCGCCGCAGCCAAGGAAGGAGAUGGCGAUGGGGUGAGGAAGAGACGAGGCUGGAGAGGCGACGGCGGUGUCGCCGGCGCCAGCGUGCUGUGUGUGUGUGUGUUUUGUGAGAACAGAGAGAGACGAGAAUGAAUGGGGAGGGGAGCGGCUGUAGGAGAAGAAGAAAAGGGAGAGGAAUUUGGUUUGGGCUUAGGGCUUGCAGUUGGGCUGAUUGGUUUUAAAUAGAUUGGGCCGGAAUUUAUUAAUAGUGUUUGGGCCCGAUUGUAUUAUUAAUUUAUGUGGGCUGAGUUUAUUUAAUAGUUUGGGCCUUUGUUUUAAUUGCUUGGGCUGCGAAAUUUAAGAACUGGCCCUUACAUUUAAUUAUUUUGGGUAGUCCAUAAUUUAAUUAAUUUGACUAUGAUUAAUUUGAUUAAUUAUUUUAAAGAUGAUUUGCAUAAUAAUAUUAUUAUUAUGAAGUGCAUAUUUUAAGUAAUUACUUAUCAUAUAUAUGCUAAGCAUGACAUGACAUUGCAUUUGCAUCAUGCAAUAAAAGUAUUCAUGAUUUAAUUGGUUUAUUUAUAAAUCCAAUUAUUUAAGAAAAUCGAGUAAGGAUAUUGUUGGUGUCCUUAACUCAAGAAUUUAGUUUUCAAUUAUUUAUUUACUAAAUUUUGGAAACCCGGCGUGAUGAAUCAAGUAUGUUUAGUACAUCCACUAAGACUUUAAGUUAGCUUCACGAGACCUAUUAAGAAUAGAAUUUCUUGUAGGCUUUGUGACCAGGGGGAUUAGCGCUGCUUUCCAAAGACAGGUUUUUAUGUGUAUGAUCUUCAGGCUUUGCCUAUCCAGGUGGGCUUACUUUCCAAAUGUAUAAAGUAUGAUUGAGUUAUUAAGCUCUAAAUGUUUCAAUUAAAUGCAAAUUAUUUAUUCAAUGAAAUGAAAACUGUUUAUCCAAUAAAAUGUUUAUGUGCACUCUGCUCUGUUUAAGGCUCGCAAAGUUAAUCAAUUGAGGUUCUCUUAUGACCUAACACGUUGUUUGAGAAUCGUGUACACAUGCUAGUUGAUCUGGUGGGUUGAUCUCCAUCGGGCACUGGCCAGAGGCGUUAUAAGGGUGCUCGACGGGAUGUGUUCCGGAGCAUGUAUCAUGUAAGGCCUGCUUGGGUAGCGUCCCGAGGUCAAUUCAACUUGUCUGAGUUACGUCCUCAGGGCAAGUGCAAUGGGAGAAAUGGAUCCGUCGGUGGCUAAAAGGUCCGGGAUCACAGCGAGUAACGGAAAGGGAGUGUGACAUGUGCGCACAAAUGAAAAAUGUUUUAACAUGCUUAGAAGUUCUUUCAAUUUAAAACCUUCUAAGUCAUGUCAAGUAUGAUUGGAUAAACUGCUCUUACGAAAAUAUGAAAUGUUUAUGAAAAUGCAUGCCCACUGAGUACAUUAGUACUUAGCCCAAAAAUACUUUCAAAUGUUUUCAGGUUGGCUGGCCGGUGCUGACGGGACUGAGCUGAGGCUAGGGUUCAACUUCCUUUUAAGACUUUCGCUGUAGCAGUAAAUAAUAUUUUGUCUUUUGUUUUCUCAACUUAAGACUUUCAUAUCAUAUUUAGAAUGACAUCUAUGAUUGAGCCUAAGCACUUAACUCCUAGUUUUAUGCUAAUGAAUAUUGGAUAUCAGAAGCAUGAAACAAAACUUGUGAUCCAAAGGGGCCUAGCCCGACUCGUUAUCUUAUUAUUCGAGUUUUAACAAGGUUGUUCCUUGUUUAUUUCUAUGAAUUAGUUGCACCUCGAUUAUAUUUAUUCAUUCAAGAA